GGGUAUUUUGAUGGCCAUAAUAAUGCCUGACCACCUGCCAUCGAUGGAAAGCUGAAUACCCCAAAAGGGGACCUCGUGAAACUAAAGAGAAACAAACAUACUCCUUACCCUGCAGCCCUCACGUCUGAGGUGCCAUACGCACAGUCAAAGCUUCUUCAAGAUCAUCUGCUUAUCUUGAGUUUGUGGUGAUAUUAAUAUUGAAUGUUUAAAUGAUCUGAAUCUGUCAGUACUAGGGUAGCAUGAGACAAGAUUUCUAAGAAUAAGUAAAUGUGCCCUAGCCUAGGUUAUUAUGUCCAUACACAUAACACAUGACAAUCCCCAAGGUACUCUUGACACACCUCAUUCAUGCUUCAGGACAAAAAGGAGUACCCCUAUAAAGGGUGGUUUUACCCACACAUACAUAUAUAUGUAUAUUAAUGCCAUAGGGGUGUCAAGGGGGGUACCAAAUAAUUUUAAGGUAAGAAACUAAGUUUGAAUCUAUUCUCCCAAGCAUUACAGCUAAUAAAAUCUGAAUUGGAAGGGAAGAGGUUUAUACAAUAAACAGGAGACCUUUUUCUUACAGGACAUGUAUGACUCAGCUGAAUGGGUAGGUGCCACGCACAUGACUGUUAAUCCCCUCAAACGACACAUUAGGACUUUAAAAGACAUGGUAGUCAUCCCAUAUUUGAGGAUAAGAGGGCUGUAGAGACAGGUUUCUCUGACACUAACUUGUGACUUGAAUGGAUGAAAUACAAUGCUACUAAACAUAACAAGUCUAACUGCUAUGUCUGCAGAGGAGCGAGGCCUCACCCAGGUACAGUAUCCCUGAACCUUCCUCCGGAUAUGAAGUGUGCGUUUUAAGUCUCUACACUGUAUUUAAACCUAAGCGGUCAGCAUGCGAGUCAUGGAAACUUAAUACCCAAUCAUUACUAAAAAUAUUAACCCAGACGAAGGCAUUACUAUAUAGCCCGGGAACUAUACUUGUUAUGGGAUAUAUGGUGGGAUAGGGCGGUUACAAACUAUCUCUCAGAUGACCUUCCAGAAUAGAAUAAGCUUGGAAAUGAUUUUAGCAGAAAAAGGGAGAGUAUGUAAAAUACUCCCAGACACCAUGACAUGCUGUACCUAUAUUCCAGAUAAUACAGGCCCUAAUGGUAAGGUAACGUUGGCAAUAGAAAAGUUAAAGAGUUUGUCCAAUGAACUGAAACGAAAUUCUGGGGCCACAGAUCCAUGGGAAAGAUGGUUUGGAUGGAUGUCUGGAUGGCAAGGUGCUUUGGCCCAAAUAGGUGUUGCCAUUUUAAUAACGAUAAUCAUCCUCGCUCUUCUUGUUUGUUGUGUGUUACCCUGUCUUAAGAAAUGCCUACAAAAGACAGUUGAUCAGGCAAUCGACCAGACCACCCCGACCUUCCUUCACCAAGAGAUUGACGAUAUCGACCGUGAUACACCACAUACACCCUUACAGUCCCACCGCACUAAAUCAACAGCUACUUCCUCUUAAGGACAUUUAGGGAUAGCG